UUCAAAAAAGCUACUAUUCCAUAUACCCAGCAAUAUGUUUUCGUCUCUUUUCUUUCAACAAUCCCCAAGAUCUCAUCCCGCGCCCCGCCGUACCAAGCAUAUACAAUAUUAUAGUAGAGGCGGAAAGCUUCGAGCCUGGCGUGCCCCGCGAGGGUGGAGUAAGAAGGCUUGUGUAGAGCAACCACAUUAACAUCCUGGCCGAGAGCCCUACCCAUUCCAUCCCUCAACAUCCUCUCAACCUCGCCCUACUUAGCCUCAUCCACUUCCACCCUCACCAUCCCGUUCCUCACGAAAUCUCCGAAUUGGGGGACUGAGACGGCCGAUGCGGACGACGAUUGGCAGUCGGAAUCCGUGGCGGCGUCGUAGUCGUCCACCGUCAUAGAAAUCUGCGGUUCCCGCUCCAUCUCACACAAAUCAGAUUUCAAUGGAAAGGGGCCGUUAUAAGUUAGUUUGAAGGUUUAUUAAUAAGGCGGUUUAGGAAGCAAGCUGAUAUAUAUAUAUAUAUACAAAAUCCACACACUCAUCCUUUCUUUUCCGAUUUUUCUUUUAUUUCAGGAAUUUUCUACAUCUAUCCAUAACAAGAAACGAGGAAUCGAAGAUAAUAAUUGUUAUGCAAAGACGAGCAGAGACUAUCGAUCACAUAUAUUUUUGUUGCAGGUUGUCAAGCAAACUAUGGUUGAUCGGUGGAACAUUUUCCUCUGUCUUUACAAGGAGCCAAAGGUAUGUUUCUUGGCGAGGCUUGGAACACCUUUUGUAAAAUUUGAUAAAAUGGUGUGGAUUUCAAUGUUUUAUGUGGUAGCAUGGUACAUAUGGAGCAUUCAAAAUAAAGGAACGUUUUAAGUACUACAGUCCAAUUGGGAGAUGAAAAAAAAGUACCAUCUUGGAGCAUGGAUUGUAGGAUGGUGUACUCUUUUUCCCCUUACUCCAAUUGAGAUGAUUGAUAAAUUCAGUGACAUAAGAUGAUGGCAGGAAGUGGAUUGAAUGCAAAGAGGACAUGUGCUUUAAGAUCAGAGUACUGAUAUGUUUCUGGGUUCUCUUUUGUUUGGCUGGAGUUGCCGACGAUUGUCUUUUUGUGUUUCAGUUAACUUGAUUUUUGUUUUUGUUUUUGGUUUGAUGUCUUUGUUCUUGCGGUAGUUCUCUUUUAUUUGGCUGGAGUUCCUACACAAUUGCC